AUUGAACGCUGGCGGCAGGCCUAACACAUGCAAGUCGAGCGGAUGAGUGGAGCUUGCUCCAUGAUUCAGCGGCGGACGGGUGAGUAAUGCCUAGGAAUCUGCCUGGUAGUGGGGGACAACGUUUCGAAAGGAACGCCAAUACCGCAUACGUCCUACGGGAGAAAGCAGGGGACCUUCGGGCCUUGCGCUAUCAGAUGAGCCUAGGUCGGAUUAGCUAGUAGGUGAGGUAAUGGCUCACCUAGGCGACGAUCCGUAACUGGUCUGAGAGGAUGAUCAGUCACACUGGAACUGAGACACGGUCCAGACUCCUACGGGAGGCAGCAGUGGGGAAUAUUGGACAAUGGGCGAAAGCCUGAUCCAGCCAUGCCGCGUGUGUGAAGAAGGUCUUCGGAUUGUAAAGCACUUUAAGUUGGGAGGAAGGGCAGUAAGUUAAUACCUUGCUGUUUUGACGUUACCAACAGAAUAAGCACCGGCUAACUUCGUGCCAGCAGCCGCGGUAAGAC
rnacentral:rRNA from 1 species